rnacentral:lncRNA from 1 species
UUAAAGAAUGGCCUUGGACCAGAAAAAAAGAACUAGUCCCUGAUUUUAUAAGAAACAAGUAAUUGGGCUCUAAGGCUUAAUGAAGAACAAUGCAGUUAGUUGAUCAUGGCAAUGAAGUCUCUCUUCUGAAGCCUGUCUCAAAUCAAUUCAAGCAAUAAAAGAAAGUUAGAUUUAUAACUGGCAAUGACUGAAUGUAGAGGGUUGAUGUCACAAAGACUAUCUCCACCUCUUCGUUAAGAAUUUUGUUUAGUGUCAACUUUAUUCACUGAGGGUACUUCCUCAAAAGGCUGAACCCAGGAAUGCUGGGAGCUUUUGGUUAACACCUUUAGACUAUUAGAAUCUGAAGAAGACUGCGAGCGAUCUGAAUGCAACACUCGGAGCACUCAAAUGUGAGCAGAAAUACAGCUUUUCAUGUAAACUAAGUGAAGAAGGGUCUUGCUUUGUUGCCCAGCCUAGCGUGCAGUGGUGUGACUCUAGCUCACUACAGCCUCUGACCUCCCAGGCAUAAGUGAUCCUCCUGCCUCAGCCUCCCACCAUCAGGACUGCAGGGAUGCGCCACUACAAUCAGUGAAUAUUUUUAAAAUUUAUUUUUGUGCAGAGACCGGGCCUUACUAUGUUGCCCAGGCUGG